rnacentral:lncRNA from 1 species
GAAAGGGACUAUACUAGUUGUGGGCCACCUCGAAUAAUACAACUCACCUAGUCCCAGAAUCAUCUGUGUUGCUACGCCCAGUAGGCCACUAAUAACACAUGAUUCUGUGCAACAAAAAUACACAGAAAUAUAUUAGAGUACAAAAAACAACAUGAACUUAGUAAGUAUCCCGUCUAAUCUCGAAGAAGUAGAGACGAGAGGUUGACUUCGACACUUUCUAUGGGUGCAAUAACGUAAUGUCAAUAAUACAUUAAAUCGUGGACUUUUAUAAACAUGAUUUUUAAUCUAAUAGAAGGAAACAAGUAAAUAAUUAUUUCUUUUAUAGUAAAUUAUUAAAUUCUUUUUUAAUUAUUUAUCCAAAUAGUCUCAAGCAAUGAAGAGGCAAUAAUAACUUUAAUAAGUUCAAGGCAGCAAUGCAAGCAUGCGCAAAUUAUGCCGAGGCAUAUGGCCCAAUCUAACAGAAAAUAAAAUAUGCACUACCGAGGGUCGAAUGGCACGAACCACAGAUGCAUCUAUUUAAUCUGUCGAGUCGUUCGGCCCAAUCCAAAAAUAAACGCAUAGACAGCCAAUCAAGAAGUCCACACGAAGUAAUUAUCCAAUGAAAACAUAUCCUCCUUCAAUCAUUUAAGAAACAUAAAGUUUUAUCUGUUUGGAAAUUUGUUUACUAAUUCAAUGUGAUUUAAGCAAUUUAAGCUAUCAAUAGGUUCACAGAUAAUCCAAGUAUAGCAUGCGUUUGGGUCCUAAUUACCCGCAUAAUAGCAUAAUAGUAGCUACACACGGAUUCUCGUCACCUCGUGUGUGCGUAGCCCCCACAAUUAGGAGCAUAUAACCAAUUAUUUUAUUUAUGAGGACAAUUCCCUCUUACAAGGUCAGAAAAGAGACCCACUUCGCUUCGAAGAUCCUUAACCGGUAUUCCACGCCCUUCUGAAGACUCAAAUUAAUGCACAACGCUUCAAAACUAGUCAAUAGUUAUGCAAAUCCAUUAAUAUACGAUAAACUACUCGUAUUAAUCCAAUUAAUAACAAUUCCUAACCCCGACCGGAAAGUUAAAAAAAUUUCCCUCGAGCCCACGCGCCUGGAAUCCGAAAUUUUUUGAAAAUAAAGUUUACCCAUAGCCUCGCGAAUUCAAAUAUAUAAUUUUUUCAAAAUUCCAUACCCAAUAUCGUGGUCAAAAUCCAUAGCCCUGCGAUCGCAUAGGCCAGCUCUGCUGCCUCUCUAAGUCCUUCUGCGCGAUCACAAAACCAACCCUGCUAUCGCAUAAGGCCCAGCCUUCCUCCUCUGGGAUCACGUAGGCCAAAUUCCAGCUCCCUCAACUCUUGCUCUAUGCAAUCGCAGAGCCUCUCUCAAGCCUAUUGCACUUAUGCCAGAAAACCAGCAAUCCUCACAUGACGAAAAUCGAUCCGUUAAGCAUCUAAAACACGUCUGACGCCAUCGGGACCUCAAUCAAACCUACCAACCAGUCCUAAAAUACUUUACGGACUUGCUCGAGGCCUCAAAUCAUAUUAAACAAUGCUAAAACAAUGAAUUACACCCCAAUUCAAGCUUUAUGAACUUUGAAAUUUCGAACUUCUACUUUCGAUGUUCAAAUAUAUCAAAUCACAUCAGAUUGACUUUAAAUUUUACAUGCAAGCCGUAUUCGACAUUAAGGACCACCCCAACUUCCGGAACCGGAUUCCGACCAUGAUAUCAAAAAGCCCACUUAUGGUCAAACUUCUCAAAAACAUUCAAAUUUCUAUCUUUAGCCAAAUGACUUACGAACCUCCGAAUUUACUUCUGAUCGUGCUCCCAACUCUAGAAUCACCAUGCGGAGCUAUUCACGGACUCAAAAUCCCAAACGAACAUCGAUAACAUUGAAAUGCACCUCAAGCCAAACUCAUAGAAUUUCUUCUAAAAUGCUAACUUCCACAAUAGGUGUCAAUACGCUCCCUGGUUAACCAAAACACGAACCAGGCAUAUGCCCAAGUUCGAAAUCAUCAUAUGAACAUGCUGGAACCUUCAAAUCCCAAUUCCGAGGUCAUUUACUCAAAAAUUCAAUCAUCAUAUGAGAAUUCUCUUCCCAAAUCAACUCCGAACAUCCCGAAAUUCAAUUCUGAAUCGCAUACAAGCAUAACCCUUGAAAUGAAGCUGCUCAUGGCCUCAGACUGUUGCACGACAUGCUAGGGUCUCAAAAUGACUGAUCGGGUCACUGCAUUCUCUCGUAAUUAAACGUACGUUCGUCCUUGAACGUAAUGAGAACUAUACUGAAGUAGUCUGAAAACACUAUUUAACACCCCAUGCACCUUCUUGUGCUACCACAACUCAGUUGAGCAAAUAAGCUCAAUCAAUUUUGAAGAUUUUUCCUUUUACUCAAGCUAAUAAGCCUUAGAGCCUAAUUCCAACACCCAAAAUUCCAUGUCCGACUUGUUUCCAACAUACGCUCACCAUAUCAAUAACUAUACGCAGGCCCAAAAACGACUGCAUACCCUAGCUGAAUUCAUAACAUGCACCACUUUACUCACAGGACCACAAUAAUAUUCUUUGAUUAAAUUAAUCAAAAUUCCACGAAUCUAAUGCCCUCAUUGCACCUCAUGACCUACAUAGGUUGUCACGACCCGAAUUUUUCAUCCUUGAGAGUCGUGAUGGAGCCUACUAAUAAGAACUAGACAAGUCAAACCUUACUACUUACUUCAUUUUCAUAUUACCUCCUUUUAACAAUCAUAAGGAAAUAACAUAAUAAAAGCGGAACUUAAAUAAUUAAGCAAAAAUUAACAAUUUCAUAUCUGAAGUCUACGUCCAUUACAACAUUUAAAACCUCAAUACCCCAAACCUGCUGUCAUAGUGUCACAGACUAUCUAAGAUUUACUACUCACAAGGUCUGAAGAAAUAAUAGUACAUUGUUUCUGGAUAGAGGGAAAUGAAACAUGAAAUAAAGAUAGAGGAAGACGCCGGGGCCUGAGAUCGCUUGCUGUCACACCUUCUUUUUACACACAUCCCGAAAGAGUAGUAUAAGGAGAUUUUUCAAAUUUAGGUGAUAUUAUUCAAAAUGGUAUUAAUUAUUCAGUUUAGAGUCGCCACUUGGGAUGAUUUGUUUUCUGGUGUCCAAACUCACCAGUUUGUUUUAAAUCUCAAAUCGAGGAAGAUUUCGACUUUCCAUUUGAAGUCCGCGAACCAGAAAUUCUGAAUAAGGAAUUCUAUUAACCCAAGGUAAGGUGUUAGGCACCCCCGAAUUUUGUGGUUCUAACACGGUCGCUUAGUGAUUAUUACUUGGCUUAAUUGUUUAAUUACUCAUUUUUUAAGACCUACGUGCAAUUAAUUUAAUUGCUUUUAGUUACUUGAUUUAUUCGUAAUUAAAGAAUUGAGUUAUGCAUACAUAUACUCUUUUCUUUUGGCGCAUCAAAGAUCAUGUCACGCGAACUUGUCCACAAUUAAUAACGCUUUGUUUAUUUUAUAAAGAAAAAUUUUUGUUGAAAUUGCGCAAACGCAUCCCUCGAGUCUUUUAAAAAAUAUUAAUUUCCAAUUAUGCUACGCGAACGUCUACAUAAUCGCAAUACUAACCCAAAUCGGGCCUAAAGCAUAUUACGAUUAUUAAAGGCAUUUCUAAAUUUAUUCCUUUAUAUGAAGGUCAAGAGUUAUUUAAUCGCUUAUGGCAUACCUCAAAUUUUCUAUAAAAUUAAGCUAGUUUUGUGAGGGCUAUGGGCUUAAGGGUUUUAUUUGGCAUGGCACACCCCACUUAUUCUUAUAAGGUCUCUUAAUUUAGUCUUUGCUUUUUUAACCUGAAGCUAUCUUUGGCUUUCCUGCAUUGUGUUCCACUAACCUUUUGAUUGAAGACAAGCACAAGAACCAAAUAUAUUUGUAUAUUUCACGUAAUAUCCAAACACAUCCAAGGAAAGGAAGUAAGGAAGAAAAACUAUGCCAUGUUCAUUAUAAAGAUUUAUGUGUACAGAUUUACCAAUAUCUAAGCUUCUCAAAAAAUGAAGCUAAAGGCAAAAACAAACACAGAUUUACCAACAUUUGAUGCAUUUCAUAUCCUGAAGAUAUCAUAAUAUCAAUACUUAUAUUGGCAUAGUGACUAUAUAAUCCAUUUUGAAAAGAUUACAACAGCUUUUACAAAUUGGUUAAAUCAAAUCAAAUUAGCAAAAGAUGCCACUAAAGAAAUAUAUAUAACUACCCAAAUCGUUACUCCAGCACCGGGGUAACUAAAGAACUUGAACCGCUAACGUUUGGAAACUUUCUACCACAAAAAUUUCAAGCAACCGAUACUUUGCAUGAGAUGAAAUUCUGAAUGGAGAGCCUAAAUUGAAGGUGAGUGAUGCAGCUCCUGCAAGCUUGACUGUAAGAAGAUUGCAGUUCUCCGAUAUCGCCAUAUCUGAGCAUUCCUCUCCUACUGUUGCUGAGGUCGUCAGGGGCAAUCGCAAUAUGGGUAAGGCUCUAUCGUUUAUUCCACCUUCUGAUAGGGAUGGGAAAAAAGUAGUUAAAAUCAGUGAAGCUGAAUUGAAUCCUCUAUCGAAGUACUGGAGUGCUUUAUUAAUUUGAUACAUCAUUGGUGAUAAUCCCACUGUGAAAACUUUGGAGAAUUUUGUUAUGCAUGUCUGGAAUUUUGUGGCUAAACCACAGAUUCUGCUACACUCUGAACAUCGGAGUACUGGAGUACUUCAUUAAUUGGAUACAUCAUUGGUGAUAAUCCCACUGUGGAAACUUUGGAGAAUUUUGUUAUGCAUGUCUAAAAUUUUGUGGCUAAACCACAUACUCUACUACACUCUGAUGGUUAUUGUAUCUUUCGCUUCAAUAAUGUUGAGGAUAAGAACUUAGUUCUCCAAUCUGGACCAUACUCGUACAGGAACAAGCCUAUGGUGCUGAAACCUUGGGAUGUUGAUUUCUAUUGUAUCUUUCGCUUCAAUAAUGUUGAGGAUAAGAACUUAGUUCUCCAAUCUGGACCAUACUCGUACAGGAACAAGCCUAUGGUUCUGAAACCUUGGGAUAUUGAUUUCUCUUUUCAAAAUGCUGUUCUUAGUACUGUACCUGUUUGGGUUCGUUUCCCUGGCCUACAAGUGGGCUACUGGUCUCCUGAAAUCUUAAGCAAACUUGCCAGUGCAGUGGGUAAGCCUCUAUACACAGAUAAAUUUACAUCUCAUUUUGAGAAGAUAUCAUUUGCCAGAGUACUGGUUGAAGUACAUGCUGCUUUUCCUUUGCCUGAGAAAAUUGAAAUUGAAACUCCUUUUGGGCUGAAGAUACAAGAGAUUGAGUAUGACUGGAAGCCUGUAUUUUGCAAUCACUGCUUGAAGUUUUGUCAUGACUCUCUUGACUGUUGGUACAAUGGUCAUAAUGAAGGGGUUCAGGAGAUGCAGGAGCAAGGAAAGGAAAUAAGACAAAAGCCUCGAAUCAAGAAACCAGGAAAGUCUACAAGGCAGGAAUAUAUACCUAAAGCUAUGGGAAUGAACUAGAUGACUCUGGCAAUAAGGAAAGUAUUGAUAGUGGUGAUAAUGAGGUUUUGGUUGUCCAAGAUAAGGUCAAGGCUGUUGCUGGAUUUCUUGAUGAUGGUAGGAGGGGACAACAGCAGGAUCCUGGUCCUUUUUGGAGUUUGCUGCCUAAUGAUUCAUGAUUAUAGUUACCUGGAACAUUAGGGGGUUUAAUAAAGCCCACAAACAGAAAGAACUGAAAAACUUUCUGACUAGAAAUAAAGUUGAUGUCCUGGGAUGCCUUGAAACUAGAGUUAAGGAACAUAAAGCAUAUAGGAUUGUUGAUAAGAUUGCUAAAGGGUGGAAGGUCCAAUGUAAUUAUACCAAAGCUGUCCAUGGGAGAAUAUGGCUAAUCUGGAAGCCUCACAUUCAGAUUCAUAUCUCCUGUGUGCCUGACCAGUCUGCAAUUCUGAGGAAGCAGUUGUGGGAUGAUCUGAAGAAUAUGGCUAAUCUGGAAGCCUAACAUUCCGAUUCAUAUCUCCUGUGUGACUGAUCAUUUUAUUCAUAGCUUAUUAGAAGAUCCUAUUAGUAAGAUCAGAGUACAACUGAGUGUCAUUUAUGCUCACAAUUCUGCAAUUCUGAGGAAGCAGUUGUGGGAUGAUCUGAGACUAGUAAAUGUUCCCAGUCAAGAUGCAUGGUUAAUCAGUGGUGACUUUAAUUCUGUCUUAUACUCUGAUAAUAGGAUUGGCUCUCCUGUCACAGAUGCUGAAGUUAGAGGGUAUAAAGAUUCCGAGUCAAGAUGCAUGGUUAAUCAGUGGUGACUUUAAUUCUGUCUUAUACUCUGAUAAUAGGAUUGGCUCUCCUGUCAUAGAUGAUGAAGUUAGAGGGUUUAAAGAGGUUAUUUCUGAUCUUCAGCUUACCUCUCUCAGAUCAAAAGGGUGGAAGUAUUCAUGGAGAAACAAGCAGGUCUAUAGCAAAAUUUAUUGGGCACUUGGUAAUUUUCAGUGGAUUCAGCAGUAUGGACACUUAGAAGCUGAUUUUAUGAAUCCCUUAGUCUCUGACCACUCCCCUAUUCUCAUACAGUUUGGGUGUCAAAAGUUAUUGCAUCCUAAACCUUUCAGAUUCUAUAAUGCUAUUAUGGAGGAUCCUCAGUUUUCUUCUAUUUUGCAGCAUGUAUGGUCUCAGAAGUGUGAAGGUUCACCUUUGCAACAGAUAUGGUAUAAAUUGAAGAACUUGAAGCAGCACUUAAAAGAACUGAACAGUCAUAUGGCUUCCUAUAAACAGAAGCUAAUCCAUGCUAGAGAAUCACUGGAUAUUAUACAGAAUCAGCUUCUACAUUAUCCAUUUUCAGAGCAGCUAUAUAAAGAGGAGAAAACAACUCUUAAUGACAUUGAGAAAUGAAGCAAUGUUGAAGAGCAAGUUAUGAGGCAGAAAUCAAAGCCAUGCUGGAUAGAUUGUGGAGAUGCCAAUACAAAAUAUUUUCAUGCUCAGUGGAAGAUCAGAACUAGUCAGAAUAAUAUUACUUCUAUAUACACUGAUGCAGGUAUAAAGCUGAUAGAUCUAGUGGCUGUGGAGCAGGAAUUCAUUGAGAUUUUCAAGUCAUUAAUGGGUGAAUGUGCUGAUGAAUUGCCUUGUAUUAACACUGCUAUUGUUAAGGAAGGACACUGUCUGAACUUAUCACAUCAAAGGUCACUUAUUCAGGAUGUUACUCUGGAAGAAGUCACUGAAGCUAUCAAAGAUAUGCCUAAAGACAAAGCACCAGGUGUAAAUGGCUUCCCUGUGGAGUUCUUUUCUAGCAACUGGGAGAUUGUCAAGGAAGAUGUAUUUGCUGCUACAAAGGAUUUCUUUACUACUUGUAAGCUGCCUUACAUGGUCAACACUACUGCCAUNNNNNNNNNNNNNNNNNNNNNNNNNNNNNNNNNNNNNNNNNNNNNNNNNNNNNNNNNNNNNNNNNNNNNNNNNNNNNNNNNNNNNNNNNNNNNNNNNNNNNNNNNNNNNNNNNNNNNNNNNNNNNNNNNNNNNNNNNNNNNNNNNNNNNNNNNNNNNNNNNNNNNNNNNNNNNNNNNNNNNNNNNNNNNNNNNNNNNNNNNNNNNNNNNNNNNNNNNNNNNNNNNNNNNNNNNNNNNNNNNNNNNNNNNNNNNNNNNNNNNNNNNNNNNNNNNNNNNNNNNNNNNNNNNNNNNNNNNNNNNNNNNNNNNNNNNNNNNNNNNNNNNNNNNNNNNNNNNNNNNNNNNNNNNNNAAUUGGACAAUGGCUUGUGUCUCUUCUGUGACUUACUCACUAGUGAUGAAUGGUGGUCUCACUAAGCCUUUCACUGCUAGAAGGGGUAUUCGACAAGGUGAUCCCAUGUCACCUUACUUGUUUGUCCUAGCUAUGGAAUACUUGAAUAGGCUGUUGGCUCAGUUGCAUAGAAAUGGAGAUUUCAACUUCCAUCCAAGAUGCAGGAAGCUGAACUGUGCCCAUAUUUGUUUUGUUGAUGAUCUUCUACUAUUCUGUCGAGCUGAUAUUAUAUCUAUCCAGAUUCUGUAUGAUGCUUUCCUUACAUUCUCUGUAGCUUCUGGACUGUAUGCAAACAACACUAAGAGUGUUGUUUAUCUGGCUGGGGUUCAUCAGACUGUCAAAGAGGCCAUACUAGAGUAUUUGGGAUUCAUUGAGGGUCAACUACCUUUCAAAUAUUUACGGAUACCUCUCCGCUCUAAGAAGCUUGCCAUCCACCAUUAUUUGCCACUGAUAGAGAGGAUAACUGAAAAAAUCACCUGCUGGUCUGCCAAAUUAUUAUCUUACGCAGGUAGGAGUCAACUAAUCAAAACUGUGAUAUUUGGAAUCCAAACUUAUUGGGCACAAAUAUUCAUCUUACCAAAGAAAGUUCUGAAAAUUAUAGAAGUUGUCUGCAGAUCUUAUCAGUGGACUGGAAGUGCAACAAUAUCCAAAAGAGCUCUGGUAGCAUGGGAAAGGAUCUGUAGACCUAUCACUCCUAGGCCUCAACAUUAUAAACAUGCAGAUAUGGAAUAAGGCUGCUAUCACCAAGCUACUGUGUGAUUUGGCUAGGAAGAAAGAUUGUGGAUCAAGUGGAUACACUACUAUUAUAUUAAGAUACUGUGGGAUUUGGCUAGGAAGAAAGAUUGUUUGUUGAUCAAGUGGAUACGCUACUAUUAUAUUAACUGUGACAUUGCUACAAUGCCCAUUCCCAAGGCAGCAUCUUGGGUGGUGAGAAAAUAAUAGAGAGCCGAAUUACUCUUCUGAAUAUUCAACAACUGCAAGGUGAUCUCGUGCUUAGAUUGGAUGGACUGUGCAGGCUAGGCAAGUUCCAUAUUCAGAAACUGUACCAUGUUAUGCUCCCUAUCUUUCCUAGGGUGGAAUGGAAGAAUCUGCUGUUGACAUCUAAUGUUCUUCCUAAGGCUGUUGCUGCUACUGCCUUUGUUACCACAGUUGCACUCAUUUGGAGAAAUAGAAACUAUAUCAGAUUUGAGGGGAAACCAUUAGAGGAAAUUCAGUUCUGUCGCGAGGUUGCAUUGCUCAUUCAUAUUCGGGGCAGAAACUAUAAGCAUUGGCAAACGGGACUGCGACAACUUAACCAUUACCCUUAGCCUUAGAUGUAAAUUCUUGUAUUGUUGCAUUGCUCAUUCAUAUUUGGGGCAGAAACUGUAAGCGUUGGCAAACGGGACUGCGACAACUUAACCAUUACCCUUAACCUUAGAUGUAAAUUCUUGUAUUAGCAUAGUAUUGAACUGUAAAGUAGUAGUUAGUCCAUACUACUACUAUGAACUCUCCAUUGUAUUUUUUUUAUAUCAAUGAAAGCUAAAUGUUAAACAUAAAAAAAUAAAUAAAUAAAUAAUUAAAUAUAACUAAUCAUGCUGAUUUGUGUUUUUCUUUGGGUGAGACUUGACAGGCUAUCCAUAGAUGUUUUGUAUUUUGGAUUGUGUCUCCCUUAUGGUAGUUAUUUAUGGUAGUUACUGUAUGAUAUUAUUGCAUGCUAUUUUAUUUAAGGUUCUUAUGUUUAGAUAAUUAUUUAUGCUAUUUCUGCUGGAGUUACUAAUGCUCUUUUGUUUUUGUUUUUGUUUUUGCUUUUGUUUUGUAUUUUGGAUUGUGUCUCCCUUAUGGUAGUUAUUUAUGGUAGUUACUGUAUGAUAUUAUUACAUGUUAUUUAUUUAUGGUUCUUAUGUUUAGAUAGUUACUUAUGAUAUUUCUGCUGGAUUUACUAAUGCUCUUUUGUUUUUGUUUUUGUAUUUGUUUUUCUUUUUGUUUUUGUAUUUGUUUUUGUUUUUCCUCUCCUUCACUGAGCCGAGGGUCGAUUGGAAACAGCCUCUCUGCCUUUUCGGGUAGGGGUACGGCUCGUUUACAUAAUACCCUCCUCAGACCCCACUUUGUGGGACAUUACUGGGUAGUUGUUGUUGUUGUUGUUUUGGCUAGAAAAGAAGAAGAAUAACUUAUGUAAAUUGUUUCACUUCAAAAAGUUCUCUUAACAUUUUCAAAAUCACUACCUUGACUAUCUUGUCCCUCAUUCCCAUGAGUUUCUUACAAACCGAUAGAGUUGGGACAAUUAAUCCAUUUUAGUAACACACCCUUGUUUAAACGAAUUAGAAUUAUGACAAAUAAUCUUGAUCUAACACGGAAAAUCCGAAAUGCCAUCAAAUAUUCAAACUAAAGCAUAUUAAACAACUCAAACACUUAUCAAAUCUGAAUAUAACUCAAAUCGUAGCCGGCUUAUACUGCUAUGGAUUAACGCGUAUACUCAGACGAUCAGAUGCCAAAUCAAAAUUUCAACAGCCCUUCCAAGGGUUCUACCUACUAUAAGAAAACUAAGAUAGAAUAGUGGAAAACAAACCUGUUGAGGAAAAUCCUUUAAUAAUAAUAGAAUGUAGCCAGCAAAUACAAGCUUGAGUUCACAUCCAUUCCAAGAGAAAGAAUCGGAAACUCAGGAGCUCGAUGGCAACAAAACAUAGUCAAACAUGAGGAGCUCAGCAUUAUGAAUCCGCCAAAAAAUCAGCAACAAUGAAUCGGCAAAUUUGAGCCUCUACGGCUUGUGAAAAUCUAGAGGAGAAGGAAUUCAUUUUUUGAAAUUGUAUUUCAUCGACAAAAAAAAAUCAGUUUAUCUUGCUAUUAUUUGUAGUUUUUGAUUUUCAGAUCUUCAGCUAAAAAAAACAAACAAUACUUCGACUGGGUCCGGAUGGUAAUUUGCGGCAGUUUGUUUUUAGAGCUGAACAAACAGCUUUUCACAGCUGAACGGGCUGUGUUGGGAGAUGAAGAAGCAGUAGCGGCUCUUUUGUUCUUGUGAGUGAGUUCUCAUUUGAGUGAGCUGAGCGAAGGAAGAAGAAACCUAAACGGUGCUAUAGUUCAGCUAGGUUGGGAGAUGAUGAGGGAAUGAGAAGAAGGGGAAAAGCUGC